rnacentral:rRNA from 1 species
GAGUUUGCUCCUGGCUCAGGAUGAACGCUGGCGGCGUGCUUAACACAUGCAAGUCGAACGAACCUUCGGGUUAGUGGCGGACGGGUGAGUAACGCGUGAGAAUCUGCCCUCAGGAGGGGGAUAACGGUUGGAAACGACCGCUAAUACCCCAUAUGCCUAUUGGUGAAACGAAUUUCGCCUGAGGAUGAGCUCGCGUCUGAUUAGCUAGUUGGUGAGGUAAUGGCUCACCAAGGCUUCGAUCAGUAGCUGGUCUGAGAGGAUGAUCAGCCACACUGGGACUGAGACACGGCCCAGACUCCUACGGGAGGCAGCAGUGGGGAAUUUUCCGCAAUGGGCGAAAGCCUGACGGAGCAACGCCGCGUGAGGGACGAAGGCCUCUGGGCUGUAAACCUCUUUUCUCAAGGAAGAAGAUAUGACGGUACUUGAGGAAUAAGCCACGGCUAAUUCCGUGCCAGCAGCCGCGGUAAUACGGGAGUGGCAAGCGUUAUCCGGAAUUAUUGGGCGUAAAGCGUCCGCAGGCGGCUUUUCAAGUCUGCUGUUAAAACGUGGAGCUUAACUCCAUCAUGGCAGUGGAAACUGAAAGGCUUGAGUAUGGUAGGGGCAGAGGGAAUUCCCGGUGUAGCGGUGAAAUGCGUAGAUAUCGGGAAGAACACCAGUGGCGAAGGCGCUCUGCUGGGCCAUUACUGACGCUCAUGGACGAAAGCCAGGGGAGCGAAAGGGAUUAGAUACCCCUGUAGUCCUGGCCGUAAACGAUGAACACUAGGUGUCGGGGGAAUCGACCCCUUCGGUGUCGUAGCUAACGCGUUAAGUGUUCCGCCUGGGGAGUACGCACGCAAGUGUGAAACUCAAAGGAAUUGACGGGGGCCCGCACAAGCGGUGGAGUAUGUGGUUUAAUUCGAUGCAACGCGAAGAACCUUACCAGGGUUUGACAUCCUGCGAACCUCUUAGAAAUUUGAGGGUGCCUUCGGGAAUGCAGUGACAGGUGGUGCAUGGCUGUCGUCAGCUCGUGUCGUGAGAUGUUGGGUUAAGUCCCGCAACGAGCGCAACCCACGUUUUUAGUUGCCAGCAUUUAGUUGGGCACUCUAGAAAGACCGCCGGUGAUAAACCGGAGGAAGGUGUGGUAGACGUCAAGUCAUCAUGCCCCUUACACCCUGGGCUACACACGUACUACAAUGCUACGGACAAAGGGCAGCAAACUCGCGAGAGCUAGCAAAUCCCAUAAACCGUGGCUCAGUUCAGAUCGUAGGCUGCAACUCGCCUACGUGAAGUAGGAAUCGCUAGUAAUCGCAGGUCAGCAUACUGCGGUGAAUACGUUCCCGGGCCUUGUACACACCGCCCGUCACACCAUGGAAGUUGGCCAUGCCCGAAGUCGUUACUCCAACCCUUGUGGAGGAGGACGCCGAAGGUGGGGCUAAUGACUGGGGUGAAGUCGUAACAAGGUA